GUGCUUGCAGCGGCAGCAUAUACACUAAAACUGUAACGAUACAGAAAUUAGCAUGGCUCCUGCACGGAGAUGAAAACUGUGAAGCAAAGCUCUGAAUCUCUUCUUU